rnacentral:misc_RNA from 1 species
GAUGAAGAACGUAGCGAAAUGCGAUAAGUAGUGUGAAUUGCAGAAUUCAGUGAAUCAUCGAAUCUUUGAACGCACAUUGCGCCCGCCAGUAUUCUGGCGGGCAUGCCUGUCUGAGCGUCAUUUCAACCCUCAAGCAACUUCUGCUUGGUGUUGGGGAUCGGCCGUUAAACGCCGCCCCCGAAAUCUAUUGGCGAUCUCGCUGUAGCUUCCUAUGCGUAGUAGUAACAUCUCGCAUCUGGAGAGCGGCGCGGUCAUGCCGUAAAACACCCAACUUCUCAGGUUGACCUCAGAUCGGGUAGGAAUACCCGCUGAACUUAAGCAUAUCAAUAAGCGGAGGA